CUUGAUCUUCUUUUCGGCAAUCUUGGAGAUGAGCUUGGCCUUGACAACGACGGGGCGAUCCGACGGAAGCAUCCCCUUGCCGAGGACCUUGAAGUAUCCGAACUGGGUGACGUCGAUGAGGGGAGCGGCGGCGGCGUCCUUGGUGGCGGCGUCCUUGACGGCGUCGGGGACGAGGGACCAGAGGCGGUCGACGUUGACGGCGGGGCAGUGGAACUUGUUGCGGAGACGGUGGAAGUAGCGCAUGCCGACCUUGCCGAAGUAGCCGGGGUGGUACUUGUCGAAGAGGAUGCGGUGGUGGUGCAUGCCGCCAGCGUUACCGCGGCCUCCGGGGU
rnacentral:lncRNA from 1 species